rnacentral:piRNA from 1 species
UGACUGAGACUGAGCUGAUGCCAAGCUA